UGUCCAGCACACGAGAUCAGAUCCUUUAUUGAAAAGGUCAAUCUGUUAGCCAUCUUUCUUAGGUAACAGAGGACCAGCUUCAUACCACAGCCUACAGGUCCUGCUGCCACCCAGAACACCGCAGCCUACGGAAGGUCCCCGGCACCCUGUGUCACCAGCACCAGGGGUCCGGUGGCUUUGCUCCUUGUGGACUCCAGUUCCGGCUCUCAGCAGGAGAUGGGUGGUUUCCCCAAGCUCGGAGGAGCCCCCACGAGGCCCUACAGUCCUUUCCUAGCUGCUAGACCACACUCUCAGCCCAGUAGUUUUCAGUACUGGGAACUGAAACCUGGGACGCCCCACCGCUGAGCUACAUCCCCAGCCCUUUCCACAUCUGAGUCUGAGACAGUCUCACUACAUUGCCCAGGCUGGCCUCCAACUUGGCAAUCCUCCUGCCUCAGCAUCCAGAGUAGCUCAGAUGAAGGGUGUGCACCACCACAGCCGCUCUGUCUCAUGGACUUGGACGCUGGCCUUUGCAGCUGGAGCUUCCAGCUCAUCCUGUGGGUUUUUUUUUUUUUUGUACCGGGGAUGGAACUCACAACCUCUUGUUUGCCAGGCAUGUGCUUAUGCCACUGAGCUAAACCCCUUAACCCCUGUGCUUUUGGUCACUGGUACAUUUCGAGCAUUAUUUGUCUGUUUGGGUUGCAAGCACCAGGAGGUUUUCCUGCCAUUAUGCUCAGUUUGGCUCCAUUCAUCCCACCCAGCAUGGCUGCCAUCUCGUGCCCUGAGCUGGGCGUGGUCCACCCUGGCGAGGGUUCCACUAACACUGGCGUGGCGUCUGGAGCUCGAAGUGGGGUGGUCAGGUCCACCCGUAGCAACUGCACAUUGCUAUGGAAAUCACCUGGGUGAGUCCUGAGAAAACUAAACCUAGAAACCCCGCUGGCCACGACCAUUCUUCAGGGGUGCCCUCCCGAAAGAGGGAUGUGGUGUCACGGUGCCCAUGCAUGCCCACCGUGGCCCUGGCAGGCAGACCCAGGGUGCAGCAGGGAAUCCGGGCGCCCCCGACAGAUGAGCAGGCGAAGACAAUGCAGUGGGCACCUGGCUCUGCCGCAGGGCGGAUGCGUCUGUAGGAGACCCACACUUUGAGAUGAACCCGAUGCACGGGCUCCGGGGCUGCCCGGCUCCUGCUCCAGUGAGAAACCCAGAGGGACGAUAAAGAGCAGAGUGAAAGAAAACCGGCAGUAGGCAGGCAGGGAGUGGGGUGAAGGGCAAGAACGAGGCCACGUGUCUGGUCCCCCCCAGCUCCCUGCCACGAACUCGAGACUCACCGAAGACGCGGACCCACACAGUCAGCUGGGAACAAUCCGUGCACCCGUGCCGGCCUCUCCUCCAAGCAUUCCAGCCUGUCCUCCACACCUGCCGGCCUGUCCCUCGCACUUGCCAUCCUGUCCCCCACCAUGCUGCCUCUGCCUCCCAUGCGGGAGCCGGGCUGCGCUCCCUGGUGGGUGGGCUCUCUCCAUGGCUUCCUGCUCGGCAGAUGCACUGUCCCUGAUGCCGUGGUCCCCAGCUGCUCUGUGUGACUGGCAUGCACCACAUGUCUGGACACAGGCGUCCAACAGCACGGCCUCCAGUGCCAGCAUCUCCCGUGUCCCUGCCCUGCGACCCAGACCCAGCCUCAGUGGUGUGGGCCUGGCCACUGCUCCGUGCUCGGUGCCCAGUGUGGAGCUGCCCUGUGCCUGCCAGCCACCGGGCUUCCUCAGUCCUCGGCUUCCAGUAGGCAAACCCUGCUGUGCAGGGGGUUUGGCUUCACCACCUGCAGUUCACCCACUCUGGAACUUGCAGGUCUGUGUCUCCUGGGGUUCAGGAUGGCCCCAGCCAAUGCUCCCCGAGCUCCUCUCCUGCGGGGACCCCACUGUCCACGGCUCCCGGCAGCUCUGCUUUCUUCUCGGUCUGCAGUCAGCCAUGCUGCUCCUCAGCGUCACCAUCUGCUGAGCUCUUCUGCCUUUCAAGGGAUCAAACACCACCUCGCACUUACCAGAUAAGCACUUGAGCCACAGCUUAAUCCCCAGCCCCCACUUGAUUUUUGGUUUUUGAGGCAAGGUUUUGCUACAUUGCUUAGGCUGGCCUUGAACUCACUAUGUAGCCCAGGCUGGCUUCAAACUCACAGUGAUCCUCCUGCCUCAGCCUCACACCUGCUGGGAUAACAGGUAUGCACCCUCCCCCCAUCUGGCAGGACGUUUACAUUUUUAAAAAGAUGAUUAAUUACAGCAAAUGGUACACUGCGUGAGCUCCCCUUUAAAUCUCCCCCGCCAAAAGAAACGCAUCCCAGCCACUCCAAGUGAAGCAGCUCCGGAGUCCUUUCCUGAGUCUUUACAAGGUACAGCUGAAAGCACAGUGUCUGUUGCUGCGAGAGCCACCAAAGACACCCGCGGCUGUGUGCUUGCCCAUCUUGCAUAUUCCCGGCCCAGAGGCUGCGGCCUUCCAGCUCCUCCCCAAAGCCCAUGGCACUCUGAAAGGGAAACUUGUGAAUGGAUUCAGAACCCAGAAGUGGCCGGCACAGCACAGCACAGCACAGCUGAAGACCCUCAGCAGAGGACCCAGAGCUGCUUCGGAAAAGAACAGGGCGACAGGGUGAGUCUGCAGCGAGGGGCAGGUUUUUGGAGGAAUCGGGCCAGUGACUUUUAUGUUUAAAAACUGCACUGUCUCUGGUCAUGUCAGGCACUUGCACACUCAAAUGUGCCAAGCUGCCCUGCAGGGAAUGGAACCGGUGUCGGCGGCAGGAACGGCAGGAGGGUUGCACUCACUCAUCUGCUCCGUGGACCCCGAGCCCCGUGUCCCACAAGGUCCAGGUAGCACUGCGCUUCCACUGGACAGUGCUGUGAGCCAUGCAGCGUGAGCACGGUGGGGUCGAGUGACGUGUGUGUGUAGAAACCUCGCUCCGUGUCUCCUGUGCAGGCAUAGGCUGAGCCCCGCAGUGGGGCUGGAGCCCAUGUUUCAGGGACCUCUGUCGCAGGACUCAGUGUGCACCACCAGCGACAGGCGGAGCCGGAAGCACCUCAGCAACAGGUGCCCGCCUCCCAGCAGUGAAACUGCAGCUCCCAUCGACCUCUGUCUCUUGCUCUCCUCCCCACUCGGGGCACACGGCCUAGGCCAAGCAUCUCCGCACCUGCCUGGUGAGGCACAGCAGUCUUGUCCCAGGGGAACACAAACACCUCUGCCCCGACCCGGAGGACAGGCCACUCGGGCACGGGUCCCGAGGAGUUGAGCCUGGGAAUGCAGCUUACAUCCCAGCUCCCACUCGGAGUAAACUGCUCUGCCCCUGCCAUGCACCCGCCUGGCAGCCACCUUUGGCCCUGGGAGUCAGGCAGUAGCUGGGGCUGGGAGCAGUGCUGUGCGGGAAGAAGCCCCACCCUGCAGGAGCUGUGGGAAGGAAAAGGGGGACCUCAGCGGCCUCGGCAGCCCUGUGAGCUGAGCUCCCUGCACUGGGAAGCAAUCACCUCUCGGGCUCAGGACACAGCACACUGCACAUGGUCACCACCCUAGUGACAUUCUGUGCCGCAAGGUGGUGAUUCCCUGGGUGCUGCAAUGACGGGACCAGAGAGAGUGGGUAUUAAGAGGGGUGUGAUGGCACCCCCUCAUCCCAGCACUCGGGAGGCUGAGGCAGGAGGAUCACUGAAACAGUGAGGGGCUGUCGAACGGUGGGGAGGAAGAAUCCACUCUGGUACGGAGAGUUAAGCUCACAGCACCAUGGUGCCACUUGCUAGGCACAAUGUCUGCCUCUCCCCAACCUCACUUUCUCUCAUCUGACAGGGCAAGCGUGAGAGCCUCACCCUGCAGCGUGGUGUGCACGCAAGGGUUAGGUAGCAGGGGCCUUUGCCGAGAGCAGGAGCUGAUGCCAAGAGACUCGGUGGCUGCAGCCCGGUGACUGUCACUCCAUGCAAGGCCGACCAUGAGGCCAUGCCUGAUGGAACAUGGGUCUCACUAUGGAGCCCAGGAUGGCCUCAAACUCACUAUAAUUCUCCUGCCUCAAACUUCCCAGGGCUGAGAUGAUAGGCAUGCACCACCUGACUCUUAAUUCUUUCCAAAAGUAAACCUGGGGAUUUAGCUCAGUGGCAGAAGCACUUGCUUGAGUUCAAUCCCCAGAACAACAACAACAAAAAAACCUAUAAAAUAAAAGUAAACUUUUUACCCUGGGUUAUUAAA